AACGAACGCUGGCGGCAUGCCUAACACAUGCAAGUCGAACGAGACCUUCGGGUCGGGUGGCGCACGGGUGCGUACCGGGUGGUAACACGUCCUUAGGCUCCGAAUAACUCCGCGAAAGGCGUGCGAAAACCGGAUAAAUACUUCGUACCAAAGAGUUAUCGCGUUUGGAUGGGCCCGCGGUGGAGUAGCUAGAUGGUAGCGUAAACGCAUACCAAGGCGACGAGACAUAGCUGGUCUGAGAGGAUGAUCAGUCACACUGGGACUGAGACACGGCCCAGACUCCUACGGGAGGCAGCGGUGGGGAAUAUUGGACAGUGGGCGAGAGCCUGAUCCAGCGAUGCCGCGUGGGUGAUGAAGGCCUUGGGGUGGUAAAGCUCUUUUACCCGGGAUGAUAAUGACAGUACCGGGAGAAUAAGCUCCGGCUAACUCCGUG
rnacentral:rRNA from 1 species